GUCGUAAGACGCGGUAUACGGACUGACGCCUGCCCGGUGCCGGAACGUUACGAGGACCGGUUAGGUGGGUUUGUCCUGCUGAAGCUGGGAAUCUAAGCGCCGGUAAACGGCGGUGGUAACUAUAACCAUCCUAAGGUAGCGAAAUUCCUUGUCGGGUAAGUUCCGACCUGCACGAAUGGCGUAACGACUUGGGCGCUGUCUCAACCACGGGCCCGGCGAAAUUGCACUGUGAGUAAAGAUGCUCGCUACGCGCGGUAGGACGGAAAGACCCCGGGACCUUCACUGCAGCUUGGUAUUGCCGUCUGGUGCGGUUUGUGUAGGAUAAGUGGGAGGC
rnacentral:rRNA from 1 species